rfam:Myotis davidii contig40576, whole genome shotgun sequence.
ACUGAGGGUGGGUGGGUCCCUCAGCCUGGACUGUGAGAGGGCACAGGUCAGGCAGAGGAACCCCACCAGUGCACA